AAGGGAAGAGAGGAGGGACAAACGGCACCUAACACACACGACGCUGUAGGAGCCAAAAUCAAAACAGCAGGACUACAAUGAAGAGAAGGAAGUUGAUCAGCAUGAGACCUCCACAAGAACACAUGACGACAUGGAUGUAAACACACAGCCUUCUUCUCAGCUGGGCGUCAGAUGCCCCUGUCACUGUCCUGCUGCCAGACGCCUGCCUACUGCCACACUGAUGGAGCUGAGACACAGCGAGGCUGACAAUCAGGGUGACUCACCAGCCCCAAAUGGGAGCUUUAAAGACACCCUUAACCUCUAAAAGUACAGAGAGGAAGAUGGCUGAGGAAAGGCACCUAGAAGAGGAAACAGCUCUUCAAUUCAAUAUCCAUCCAUCCAGCCAUCAAUCCACCUUUCAAAGAUGUGGCCAAGCUAAGACAGGAGGAGAGAUUUGGAUUAUCCAUGACUGAGUCAUUUAAUUCCUCUUGGUCAGAUCGGAUAGCCAUACGAUCUCAAAAAGCUAUGUGCAAAUGCAUCCAAAAAAACAUUCAUGACAGAUUGAAAUCCAAGAAUUCUAAGCAGAUGUUGAAAAGGUUUAAAUGCAUCUGUCUCUCCAAGACACAGACAUUUCUUUACUCCUCUCAAGUGUAACCAAAUGUCCAUUUAAUCAGCAGUAAAGCAAGAAGAUCUCAAUAUAUCCCCCACUAUGAUCAGCACACAUUUGGCUCUUCCACUAAAACUGUAUCCUUUAUCAUUAUAAUGUUUGUUUUUUAUGACUAAAUGCUAAGUCACUCAGGUCAAAGACAGAGCUGUGCAGAUGGCAGUUAGUUUCUUUCAAUAUAAUACAGCUAGCAUGGUCAUGUUUCUCAAAGCCAGGAUGAGUUUCUGUAACAUGAUUGUUUACAUAGGCAAACACAUAGAUGAGAUAUUCUAAAACACCAUCAUAAUUGUGAUAUGAAUGUACAAAAGUGUAAAAAUUGUUAUUGUAACAAAAGACAUUCUCUUUAAAGUUAGAUGGCACUGUAUACACAGGCAACAUGUUGUGGAAAAAGUCCUGAUUUACCAUUUG